AUGCUGCUCCCCAGUCUGCUGAGAGUAGUCAUAGCCUCCAUCUGCCUUGGAUCCGGCAUGACACAGAAGGUAACUCAAGCCCAGCCUGCCAUUUCUACGCUGGAGAAUGAGGCUGUGACCUUGGAUUGUGUAUACGAAGUUAGUGGUUCUAGUUAUUAUUUAUUCUGGUACAAACAACCACCAAGUGGAGAAAUGAUUUUCCUUAUUCAUCAGGAGUCAUACAGGAGCAGAAUGCAAAAGAGGGUCGGUAUUCUCUGAACUUCCAGAAAUCAGACCGUUCCAUCAGCCUCACCAUCAUGGCAUUACAACCUAUGGACUCAGCAGUGUACUUCUGUGCUCUGAGAGACACCACAGUGAUGCAGCACCGGUGGGAGCCCCACAAAAACCUCAGAUCUCCACAGGAGGCAUCCCCCACCUCUGAACACCUGGGAGAGUGGCAGAGCGGAAGGAGGAAGCAGGGGCUGUGCCUGGGGUGGUGGGGGUUCUGA